AGGAAGAAACAGGAGGAAGAAGGAGAAAUGAAGAAUUUAGUAUCUACAUCAAGAACUCAACUGUGAGGCUGAGCUGCACUGAAUGUGUGGAACUGAGAUCUGACCUGUAGGGAGGAAAAAUUAGCUUAAGAUUACACCAAAAUACACAGAAUUAGAAGAUGUGGGAGGAGCCAGAUGUUUGGCUGUAUUUAUGCAACAAAAACUAGAACCAAAUUACAAAUUUUUGGCAUUACAUUGACAUUUGGAUGUGAUAGCAAAAACCCUAGAGCUACAUCUCAGACUCCACGGGCCUCAUGUAGCACAUUAAACAUUAAAGUUAAUGACAGCACAAGUAGAAAAGUACUGAAGAAGUAUGGCUUGUUUGGAAGGGUUGCAGGAGAAAGACCAAACCACAAGAUGUCUGAUUAAACCAAUGUUAUUUCCCCUUUUUAUACAGUAAUCUGUUGAGUGAAAGUUGUUAAUUAUGGCACUGAAAAAACACAUUGACAGUGAUGCUGUGUAUGUCUUGUGGGGAAAAAGAGGAAAAGAAAUCAAACCUGAAUUUUGAUAACAGUAUUU